rnacentral:rRNA from 1 species
AACGACGACUGCGGCGAUGCCUAACACAUGCAAGUCGAACGAAGCACUUUUAUUUGAUUUCUUCGGAAUGAAGAUUUUAGUGACUGAGUGGCGGACGGGUGAGUAACGCGUGGGUAACCUGCCUCAUACAGGGGGAUAACAGUUGGAAAUGACUGCUAAUACCGCAUAAGACCACAGUACCGCAUGGUGCAGGGGUAAAAACUCCGGUGGUAUGAGAUGGACCCGCGUCUGAUUAGGUAGUUGGUGGGGUAACGGCCUACCAAGCCGACGAUCAGUAGCCGACCUGAGAGGGUGACCGGCCACAUUGGGACUGAGACACGGCCCAA